CCUACGGGUGGCAGCAGUGAGGAAUAUUGGUCAAUGGCCGGGAGACUGAACCAGCCAAGUCGCGUGAGGGAAGAAGGUACUGUGGUUUGUAAACCUCUUUUAUCGGGGAAUAAAGAUAUGCACGUGUGGAUAUUUGCAUGUACCCUAUGAAUAAGCAUCGGCUAACUCCGUGCCAGCAGCCGCGGUAAUACGGAGGAUGCGAGCGUUAUCCGGAUUUAUUGGGUUUAAAGGGUGCGUAGGCUGUUUUUUAAGUCAGCGGUGAAAGUUUGUGGCUCAACCAUAAGAUUGCCGUUGAAACUGGAAGUCUUGAGUGUGUGUGAGGUAGGCGGAAUGCGUGGUGUAGCGGUGAAAUGCAUAGAUAUCACGCAGAACUCCGAUUGCGAAGGCAGCUUACCAGGUCAUAACUGACACUGAAGCACGAAAGCGUGGGUAUCAAACAGGAUUAGAUACCCUGGUAGUC
rnacentral:rRNA from 1 species